rnacentral:rRNA from 1 species
UACUCCUACGGGAGGCAGCAGUGAGGAAUAUUGGUCAAUGGACGAGAGUCUGAACCAGCCAAGUAGCGUGAAGGAUGACUGCCCUAUGGGUUGUAAACUUCUUUUAUAUGGGAAUAAAGUUCUCCACGUGUGGAGUUUUGUAUGUACCAUUAUGAAUAAGCAUCGGCUAACUCCGUGCCAGCGAGCCGCGGUAAUA